GCAUCGAAUGCUCAGUGGCAGAGCGACGUAGCGUUGACCUAUGCGGCCCGGGUUUGAACCCCGAUCGAUGCA